UCGAGGAUCUUCGGCAAUGGGCGCAAGCCUGACCGAGCGACGCCGCGUGUGCGAUGAAGGCCUUCGGGUUGUAAAGCACUGUCGAGGGGGAUCAAGGCGCAAGCUUGAGAGAUCCCUGGAGGAAGCACGGGCUAAGUUCGUGCCAGCAGCCGCGGUAAGACGAACCGUGCGAACGUUGUUCGGAAUCACUGGGCUUAAAGGGCGCGUAGGCGGCUGGCCAAGUCGGGGGUGAAAUACUUCAGCUUAACUGGAGAAGUGCCUUCGAUACUGGCUGGCUCGAGGGAGGUAGGGGUCAUUGGAACUUCUGGUGGAGCGGUGAAAUGCGUUGAUAUCAGAAGGAACGCCGGUGGCGAAAGCGAAUGACUGGACCUCUUCUGACGCUGAGGCGCGAAAGCUAGGGGAGCAAACGGGAUUAGAUACCCCCGUAGUCC
rnacentral:rRNA from 1 species